AACGAACGCUGGCGGCAUGCCUAACACAUGCAAGUCGAACGAGACCUUCGGGUCUAGUGGCGCACGGGUGCGUAACGCGUGGGAACCUGCCCUUAGGUUCGGAAUAACUCCCCGAAAGGGGUGCUAAUACCGGAUAAUGUCUUCGGACCAAAGAUUUAUCGCCAUUGGAUGGGCCCGCGUUGGAUUAGCUAGUUGGUAGGGUAAAAGCCUACCAAGGCGACGAUCCAUAGCUGGUCUGAGAGGAUGAUCAGCCACACUGGGACUGAGACACGGCCCAGACUCCUACGGAAGGCAGCAGUGGGGAAUAUUGGACGAUGGGCGAAAGCCUGAUCCAGCAAUGCCGCGUGAGUGAUGAAGGCCUUAGGGUUGUAAAGCUCUUUUACCCGGGAUGAUAAUGACGGUACCGGGAGAAUAAGCUCCGGCUAACUCCGUG
rnacentral:rRNA from 1 species